ensembl:lncRNA
AGGCAAUAGUUUUAUUGAAAGCAGAGAUAAGUAGGUACAAGCAAAAACAUCUUAACUAAUGCACUGUCCCAAAAACUGUUUCUAGGCGACGAGGUCCGAGGUGCCCGUGUAGCCGUCGGUCAGAGUUAAGUUGCCGUCGUCGCCCAGGGUGCCAUUGCCAGUGUAGAUGUCGGCCAAAGUUACAUUGUGGUCGUCGCCCAGGGUGCCGUUGCCUGAGUAGCCAUCUGCCAAAGUACCAUUGCUGCCAUUGUCGGCCAGGGUGCCAUCGUCGGCCAGGGUGCCGUUGCGGGUGUAGACGUCGCCCAGGGUGUCAUUGCCAUCUGCCAAAGUUCCGUUGCCCGUGUCGACGUCGGCCAGGUUGCCGUUGCCCGUGUAGCCGUCAGCCAAAGUUCCAUUGCUGCCGUCGUCGCCCAGGGUGCCGUUGCCAGUGUAGACGUCAGCAAAAGUCACAUUGCCGUCGUCGCCCAGGGUGCCGUUGCCUGAGUAGCCAUCUGCCAAAGUACCAUUGCUGCCAUUGUCGGCCAGGGUGCCAUCGUCGGCCAGGGUGCCGUUGCGGGUGUAGACGUCGCCCAGGGUGUCAUUGCCAUCUGCCAAAGUUCCGUUGCCCGUGUCGACGUCGGCCAGGGUGCCGUUGCCAGUGUAGACGUCAGCCAAAGUUCCAUUGCUGCCGUCGUCGCCCAGGGUGCCGUUGCCUGUGUAGCCGCCAGGCAAAGUCACGUUGCAGUCGUCGCCCAGGGUGCCGUUGCCAUCUGCCAAAGUUCCGUUGCCCGUCUCGACGUCGGCCAGGGUGCCGUUGCCAGUGUAGACGUCAGCAAAAGUCACGUUGCCGUCGUCGCCCAGGGUGCCGUUGCCAUCUGCCAAAGUUCCGUUGCCCGUGUCGACGUCGGCCAGGGUGCCGUUGCCCGUGUAGCCGUCAGCCAAAGUUCCGUUUCCCGUGUAGACGUCAGCUAGGGUCACGUUGCCGUCGUCGCUCAGGGUGCCGUUGCCUGCGUCGGCAU